GCUUACGGCCAUACCGCUCUGAUCAAGCCCGAUCUCGUCUGAUCUCGGAAGCUAAACAAAGCCGGGCAUGGUUAGUACUUGAAUGGGAGACUGUCUGGGAUACCGUGUGCUGUAAGUU
rnacentral:rRNA from 1 species